ACGAACGCUGGCGGCAUGCCUCACACAUGCAAGUCGAACGAGACCUUCGGGUCUAGUGGCGCACGGGUGCGUAACGCGUGGGAACCUGCCCUUAGGUUCGGAAUACUCCCCGAAAGGGGUGCUAAUACCGGAUAAUGUCUUCGGACCAAAGAUUUAUCGCCUUUGGAUGGGCCCGCGUUGGAUUAGCUAGUUGGUAGGGUAAAAGCCUACCAAGGCGACGAUCCAUAGCUGGUCUGAGAGGAUGAUCAGCCACACUGGGACUGAGACACGGCCCAGACUCCUACGGGAGGCAGCAGUGGGGAAUAUUGGACAAUGGGCGAAAGCCUGAUCCAGCAAUGCCGCGUGAGUGAUGAAGGCCUUAGGGUUGUAAAGCUCUUUUACCCGGGAUGAUAAUGACAGUACCGGGAGAAUAAGCUCCGGCUAACUCCGUG
rnacentral:rRNA from 1 species